ensembl:lncRNA
CAACAAUAUACUUACUGGCCUACAAACAAUCAGACAAAACGGGCCAAAAAAGAAGAAGUCCCUGACGAAGAGAUCUGGAGCACACGAAAAAUCCGUGUUUUUGCCCAAACUGAUGAUUUUGAGAGGGCAUUAAGGUGGAGUAAAAAUGCUGAAUUGAAUUCCUCUGUAGAAAGCGACACUGGCAAUAAUUUCAAGAGGCCAACCAGAAAACCAAGCAGAUUCGAAGACAGCAGCGAUGAUGAGUGGGGAAGAGACACCUGGAUGCCUAACUUAAAGAGAAAGCGUCAAGAUGAACCCUUUCCUCGUCUCAAGGCAACAGCUGUAACAAAAAGGCCAAACAAAGCAGAGAGACAACCAUGGACAAGGCGUCCACAAGAUUUUUCAGUGCCAAAAGACCUCAAAGAAACACUGCAGGUGCUGCUGCAGAAAGUAGACACCCUGGCGGCCUCCCAGAGGGAAAUUCUACUUUUACUGCGGAGGAACCAGGGUCGUCAAAGGGAGGAUGAUAUCUUGGACCUCAAGACAGCUCAGUGCAUGGAGGAAUUGGAGGACCUUGAGAACCACCUUAAGGACCCUGAAUUUAGAAAGAAAGUGACACACCAUCUCAGCCUUAUUAGUGGGGCCAGUCCAGGGGAGUGUGUAAGGAGGGUAAUGCGCGCAGUAGCCACUAACAAUGUAUGGAGCCACUACAGCCUGCAUGGGAAGCGAAAGAAGCUGGCUCUAAUUAAUAAAACAAUAUGUAAAGUUAUCACACAUGCCGUCAUGAAAUGGAAAGCUGGUCUUGGGGAGAAGGAGAUAGAAAGUUUAAUAGCAGAGACUCUUAAACAUGCGCCGGCGCACAUAAAUAAAAGUGUCGAGGGACAUGUAGAGGAGUGGACGGAGGAGUAGAUGUGGAGGAGUAAAUGGUUCGGUGUUCAAGCUUCUGAAGAAAACCUUCUUUGUUCAUUUACAUGAUUAGAAACCUGUUCAUUUACAUGAUUAGAAACCUGUUCAUUUACAUGUUUAAAAACCUGUUUACCGUUUUGUUAUUUGUGAUUUAUCUAUACCUGUAAUAAACAACAUGAAUUAAUCAAAUUCGUGUCUUUCAUAAAUAGUUUUUGGGCAAAUGAGGACAAGUUAAAUUAGCCACGUCCGC